GAUGAACGCUGGCGGCGUGCUUACCACAUGCAAGUCGAACGGAUUUUACAUGAAGCCUAGCGAUUGUAAAAUUAGUGGCGGACGGGUGAGUAACGCGUGGGUAACCUGCCAUAUGCUGGGGGACAACAGUUAGAAAUGACUGCUAAUACCGCAUAAGCGCACAGUAUCGCAUGAUACAGUGUGAAAAACUCCGGUGGUAUGAGAUGGACCCGCGUCUGAUUAGCUAGUUGGUGAGGUAACGGCUCACCAAGGCGACGAUCAGUAGCCGACCUGAGAGGGUGACCGGCCACAUUGGGACUGAGACACGGCCCAA
rnacentral:rRNA from 1 species